rnacentral:misc_RNA from 1 species
UUCCUCUUUCUUUCUUUGAGGUGGUGCUAUUAGUAGCCCAAAACGGGAGUGAGCCAAUUGAUUCUCAGCCUGCUCCAGCUUGUCAGCUAAAUCUGAAAUCUGUCCGGCAACAUAGUCUCCAUUACCCAGGAGAGGUGAAGAAGAUAGAGUAUUCACCCAAUAUUUGUUCCACAACAGGCCCAAGAGGUGACAAUCAAGAGAGGACUUGAAAUAAGUGAUAUCCAAAGCAUAAUACUGCUUGCA